rnacentral:rRNA from 1 species
CUACGGGCGGCUGCAGUGAGGAGUUUUGCGCAAUGGGGGAAACCCUGACGCAGCAACGCCGCGUGAGCGAAGAAGGCCUUCGGGUCGUAAAGCUCUGUCAAGUGGGAAAAACGUUUUCCGGUCAAUAGCCGGGAGAUCUGAUGGUACCGCUGAAGGAAGCACCGGCUAACUCCGUGCCAGCAGCCGCGGUAAUACGGAGGGUGCAAGCGUUGUUCGGAAUUAUUGGGCGUAAAGAGCGUGUAGGCGGUUUGGUAAGUCAGAUGUGAAAGCCCCGGGCUCAACCCGGGAAGUGCAUUUGAAACUGCUUUACUUGAGUAUGGGAGAGGAGAGUGGAAUUCCUGGUGUAGAGGUGAAAUUCGUAGAUAUCAGGAGGAACAUCUGUGGCGAAGGCGACUCUCUGGACCAAUACUGACGCUGAGACGCGAAAGCGUGGGUAGCAAACAGGAUUAGAUACCCUGGUAGUC